rnacentral:SRP_RNA from 1 species
GGAGGAGAACGCCGGACCGGCUGCCCGCCAAUCUGGUCAGGUUCGAGAGGAAGCAGCCAUAACGGGAUGUGACGGGGUCGGUCGUUCUCCACCAGU